rnacentral:rRNA from 1 species
GAUGAACGCUGGCGGCGUGCCUAAUACAUGCAAGUCGAGCGAACGGACGAGAAGCUUGCUUCUCUGAUGUUAGCGGCGGACGGGUGAGUAACACGUGGAUAACCUACCCAUAAGACUGGGAUAACUUCGGGAAACCGGAGCUAAUACCGGAUAAUAUUUUGAACCGCAUGGUUCAAAAGUGAAAGACGGUCUUGCUGUCACUUAUAGAUGGAUCCGCGCUGCAUUAGCUAGUUGGUAAGGUAACGGCUUACCAAGGCAACGAUGCAUAGCCGACCUGAGAGGGUGAUCGGCCACACUGGAACUGAGACACGGUCCAGACUCCUACGGGAGGCAGCAGUAGGGAAUCUUCCGCAAUGGGCGAAAGCCUGACGGAGCAACGCCGCGUGAGUGAUGAAGGUCUUCGGAUCGUAAAACUCUGUUAUUAGGGAAGAACAUAUGUGUAAGUAACUGUGCACAUCUUGACGGUACCUAAUCGGAAAGCCACGGCUAACUACGUG